CACGCGGUGCUCUCUAAUAUAGUAAUUAGAGAGCACCGCCUGUUCCUCCAUUAAUCCACUCUCCCAGAUUUAAUCUUUCAGGUUUUAGCUGCUCAUCGCUGGAUUCUUUCCUGGUUCUCCAUGUGGUUCCUGUCCUCGUGAUUCCUGCUUGUUGGAUCUCCUGAACCUGCAAUCCUCCACCUUCAGCACCACCAGUCAGGUGGAGGAAGAUAAGAGAACCCAGUUGACGAAAAAAAAAUCCUGCUGAUCAUCAAGAGAAGUUUCCUGCUGCAUCAGGGGGAACAGCUGAAGAUGGACGCAGAAUAAAGAGACAGAGAUCUUGUGAAGUGGAUCCUCAUCAGCCUGGAAUCCUCCACCUUCAGCACCACCAGUCAGGUGGAGGAAGAUAAGAGAACCCAGUUGACGAAAAAAGUAAGAACUUUUAAAUCUGAUG